UUUUAUGGAGAGUUUGAUCCUGGCUCAGGAUGAACGCUGGCGGCGUGCCUAAUACAUGCAAGUCGAGCGAACGGACGAGAAGCUUGCUUCUCUGAUGUUAGCGGCGGACGGGUGAGUAACACGUGGAUAACCUACCUAUAAGACUGGGAUAACUUCGGGAAACCGGAGCUAAUACCGGAUAAUAUUUUGAACCGCAUGGUUCAAAAGUGAAAGACGGUCUUGCUGUCACUUAUAGAUGGAUCCGCGCUGCAUUAGCUAGUUGGUAAGGUAACGGCUUACCAAGGCAACGAUGCAUAGCCGACCUGAGAGGGUGAUCGGCCACACUGGAACUGAGACACGGUCCAGACUCCUACGGGAGGCAGCAGUAGGGAAUCUUCCGCAAUGGGCGAAAGCCUGACGGAGCAACGCCGCGUGAGUGAUGAAGGUCUUCGGAUCGUAAAACUCUGUUAUUAGGGAAGAACAUAUGUGUAAGUAACUGUG
rnacentral:rRNA from 1 species